UUUAUAAAGCUUAUCUUUUUUUAGAA
rnacentral:tRNA from 1 species